UACGUAGGCAGCGAGCGUUGUUCGGAGUUACUGGGCGUAAAGGGUGUGUAGGCGGUUGUUUAAGUUUGGUGUGGAAUCUCCCGGCUCAACUGGGAGGGUGCGCCGAAUACUGAAUGACUUCGAGUGCGGGAGAGGAGAGUGGAAUUCCUGGUGUAGCGGUGAAAUGCGUAGAUAUCAGGAGGAACACCUGCGGUGUAGACGGCUUGCUGGACCAUCACUGACGCUGAGGCACGAAAGCGUGGGUAGCAAACAGG
rnacentral:rRNA from 1 species